ACAUGUGAGGGCGAUCUGGCUGCGACAUCCGUCACCCCAUUGAUCACCAGGGUUGAUUCGGCUGAUCUGGCUGGCUAGGCGGGUGUCCCCUUCCUCCCUCACCGCUCCAUGUGCUUCCCGCCCGAAGCUGCGCGCUCGGUGGAAGAGGACGACGUCCCAGGUAUAGAAGGAGUGUACCGAGGUCUCCAGUCUUCGGUCCCGGGUAUACGAUAGCUGCGCUCCCCUGCUAGAACCUCCAAACAUACGUUUUAUUUGUCACACAAUAUACUGAUCCAGUCAUUACUGGGCUGAAAGCUCAUGUCAAAUCUUAGACAUUAAGGUGACACUAGUUUUGCUGUUUUGGCU
rnacentral:snRNA from 1 species